AAUCCCUCUUCUCAGAAAACCCUACGCGCGCGCACCACCGCCAUCAAAAAAACCUUCUUUGCUUCGUACAGUCUUUCUCCACUCCAACCAGAGCACCACCAUCCCACCAUAUAUCCCUCCGCCGCGGGUCAUACACCACGCAGCUCCUCUGCCACCGCCUCCCUCCGUCGCGGGUCGUACACCACUCAGCUUCGCCGCGCGUACGAACCCUCAAUCUCGAACGCCGCGUGGCCGCCGCUGUUGCCGCCGCCGAAGGGGGUCACGUGCGCUAGGGCUUUGGAGUGGCGGAGGUUCAUGUGCCGCUUCACGGAGUAGAGAGGGCGAAUCGUCUCCUCCCCGUCGUAGAUCACCCAAACUCAGCUUCUGCAUCGCAAAAUCCACAGAGAUCGGUUAACGGGAAAAGAUUGGCAACAGAUUCUAGAGGUUAAAACAUUCCGUGUGGCCCUUUUGCCAAGGAGAAGCUGGUUGAUACUAAACGAAGAAG